rnacentral:rRNA from 1 species
CAUGCAAGUCGAGGGGUAACAGGAAAGCUUGCUUUUGCUGACGACCGGCGCACGGGUGCGUAACGCGUAUGCAACCUACCUCAUACUGGAGCAUAGCCCUUGGAAACGGGGAUUAAUACUCCAUGGUAUCAUGAAUUCGCAUGUUUUCAUGAUUAAAGAAUUUCGGUAUGAGAUGGGCAUGCGUCCCAUUAGUUAGUUGGUGAGGUAACGGCUCACCAAGGCGACGAUGGGUAGGGGGCCUGAGAGGGUGGUCCCCCACACUGGUACUGAGACACGGACCAGACCCCUACGGGAGGCAGCAGUGAGGAAUAUUGGUCAAUGGAGGCAACUCUGAACCAGCCAUGCCGCGUGAAGGAUGACGGCCCUAUGGGUUGUAAACUUCUUUUAUAUGGGAAGAAACUUAUCUACGUGUAGAUAACUGACGGUACCAUACGAAUAAGGAUCGGCUAACUCCGUGCCAGCAGCCGCGGUAAUACGGAGGAUCCAAGCGUUAUCCGGAUUCAUUGGGUUUAAAGGGUCCGUAGGCGGAUUUUUAAGUCAGUGGUGAAAGCCGACAGCUCAACUGUCGAACUGCCAUUGAUACUGGAAAUCUUGAGUACA